UCGGGAAUAUUGGACAAUGGGCGAAAGCCUGAUCCAGCAACGCCGCGUGCGGGACGAAGGCCCUCGGGUCGUAAACCGCUGUCAGGAGGGGAGGAACGGUGCGUGGUUAAGAGCUGCGUACUUUGACAGUACCUCCAGAGGAAGCCCCGGCUAACUCCGUGCCAGCAGCCGCGGUAAAUACGGAGGGGGCGAGCGUUAUUCGGAAUUAUUGGGCGUAAAGGGCGCGUAGGCGGCCCGAUAAGUCCAAGGUGAAAAGCCCUCGGCUCAAACCGAGGAACUGCCUUGGAUACUGUCGGGCUCGAGGCUGGAAGAGGGUGAUGGAAUUCCCGGUGUAGCGGUGAAAUGCGUAGAGAUGUGGAGGAACACCAGUGGCGAAGGCGGCUUCCUGGACCAGUACUGACGCUGAGGCGCGAAAAGCGU
rnacentral:rRNA from 1 species